rnacentral:tRNA from 2 species
GGUCUAAUGGUCGUAUGUCUCUCUUCCAUCCUUCGCCUAAAUCACCGCUAACCAAUCAUAGUAAUGGUUAUGACUGCGGAUUCUGAUUCCGCCAGCCCAGGUUCGAUUCCUGGUUGGACCU